rnacentral:lncRNA from 1 species
UGAUUUCCAAUAAGAAUCAGCGUCUCCUCUCUCUCGCCGUUUCGCCGAAUCCGCCUCUCUCUCCUCUUUCUCUCCAAUUUCUUUCUCCUCUUCCACUUAUUUUUAUUUUCCAGAAUUAAAAUAAGAACACUAGGUAGAGUAUUACCUUUCUUUUCUGAUCUCUCCGAGGUGGAUAUAGCCACCGUCCUCGCCAAUUCGGAUUUUUGGCAGUGUCUCCAUCUUCUUGGCAUCUCUUUCGUUGACGAAACCGCCACCGUCUCUAUUGAAUGAACGCCACUAUGAAUGAUCCCGCCGGCUAGGAUUCUGCCGCCAUGAUUGUUGAUCAUCGGGAGGACGCCUUGACGAGACAUACAAACAGAAGGUAAAUAGAAAAUCAGAUCUGGUCGUCUUUUAUAAUUUAUUCUUUUAAAUCUAAGGUGAAUAAGGAGUAGAUAAGAGGAUAGGCAAAUCUCAGUAAUAAAAAGAAAUUUAUGCAGAUCAAAUUGCCUUCUGUUUCUUAUUUUGUCUUAAAAAUGAGAAUUAGCACUUGAAACAAUGAUCAAUUCAGGGGAAGAUAAUAGGUAUGCUAAAAAUUAAUGUAAUUAUGUUAUUAGUGUUACUAUACAGUGAUGAAUGUGUAUGAUUGUUGCAUGAAAUAAGAUGGAAACAAAGUAAUGCUUCUGAUUUGUUUAGACCAGUAGCGGUUAUGUAAUCGUAAGGCUUAGUAGCAUAGCAUGAACUAAAACAUGAAAUAGUGGUUUUAAUUUCUGUAGUUAGUGUUAGUUUAUAUGUAAGCAGAGUUAAUAAGGCAACAUAUAUAUAGCCGCCGAAGUUGAUGUAAACCCAUGUCGGUUGGUCUUGACUUGCUGUAUAGAAAGGUGAAUAACAACUGAAUAUCUGAACAUCAAAUAGGGUCUCGAUCUUUAGGUAUUUCAAUACCUUUCCCACAUAUACCACAAGCCUUGAUUGUUGGAUUUAUUUAUCUUUCUCAUUUGCAAACACACUAAUAAUCUAAUUGUUUUGGUUUCUUGGCAGGGGGGGAAGAAGGAGAGGCCUUAUGAAGGAAGAAGUUAGGAGAUGAAAAGGAUGACGAGUUUGGGAUGAGGGAGAGAGAUUUUGGGAUUACUUGCAGUGUGAAGGUUUUUCCUUGUGAGGAAUUGUGGGGAAUAUUACUGUAUUAGUUUUAUUUGUUUUAUAUUUUUGGGCCAACUUUUUAUUUAUUGGGCUCAAAGUUAGAUCGGAUCCAAAUCCAUAUGUAUCAAAUGCUGUUAAGGCCCGUUGACUCUUAGCCCACUUUAUUUUGAGAUAGUAAAUGCACGUCCCCAUCCGUUUAAGACUUUAUCAUGAUACGACUCGAAGAAGUUUAUUCAUAAUAUAUCACGAAAUUACUAACAUAGCAAGAAUUUUAGCU